rnacentral:rRNA from 1 species
GAGGAAUAUUGGUCAAUGGGCGAGAGCCUGAACCAGCCAAGUCGCGUGAAGGAAGACAGUCCUAAGGAUUGUAAACUUCUUUUAUACGGGAAUAACGGGCGAUACGAGUAUUGCAUUGAAUGUACCGUAAGAAUAAGCAUCGGCUAACUCCGUGCCAGCAGCCGCGGUAAUACGGAGGAUGCGAGCGUUAUCCGGAUUUAUUGGGUUUAAAGGGUGCGUAGGUUGUUCGGUAAGUCAGCGGUGAAACCUGAGCGCUCAACGUUCAGCCUGCCGUUGAAACUGCCGGGCUUGAGUUCAGUGGCGGCAGGCGGAAUUCGUGGUGUAGCGGUGAAAUGCAUAGAUAUCACGAGGAACUCCGAUUGCGAAGGCAGCUUGCCAUACUGCGACUGACACUGAAGCACGGAGGCGUGGGUAUCAAACAGGAUUAGAUACCCUGGUAGUCCACGCAGUAAACGAUGAUUACUAGGAGUUUGCGAUAUACCGUCAAGCUUCCACAGCGAAAGCGUUAAGUAAUCCACCUGGGGAGUACGCCGGCAACGGUG